UAGGGAGUGAGUUCUCGCAAGACCUGGUUGUUUAAAAGUGGGCGGCACCUUCCCCUUCGCUCUUCCUCCUGCUCCUGCCCUGGUAAGAAGUGCUGCUUCCCCUUUGCUUUCUGCCAUGAUUGUACGUUUCCUGAGGCCUUCCCAGCCAUGCUUCCUGUGUGGCCUGUGGAACGGGAUUCUCCCUGCCACAGAUGUGUCUGGAUGGUGACAGAUGGGAAUCUUCUCCAGUGACCAGAAUCCAUGCCUUACCUUGGGAGCCCAAGGGGCAGUGGCAUCCUCAUGCAAGCUGGUCUACUGGUGGCUGCCCCUGUGACCUGCUUCUGAAUGGCCAGGCAGGAAAAGUCUCCCACUGUGUUGCAUUUAAAGAAAAGAAAAAGAUGAAUUAAGUAAAAAGCUCUGCAAACAACUGAGUGUAAUUAUUGGAUAUGUAUAAACUUAUGCAUAUUUUCCUUUUUUUAAUUAUACUUUAAGUUCUAGGGCACAUGUGCACAACGUGCAGGUUAGUUACAUAUGUAUACAUGUGCCAUGUUGGUGUGCUGCACCCAUUAACUCGUCAUUUAACAUUCGGUAUAUCUCCUAAUGCUAUCCCUCCCCCCUCCCCCCACCCCACAACAGGCCCUGGUAUGUGAUGUUCCCCUUCCUGUGUCCAUGUGUUCUCAUUGUUCAAUUCCC
rnacentral:lncRNA from 10 species